ensembl:lncRNA
CUUGGGGAAAUGUACUAAAUUUGGGUUGUUUUACUAAAUGGUUUUUGAUUCCUUCAGUUACCAGUGACACAAUCUCCUCUCAGGUUUCUAGGCAUGCUCAUUGUUGGAUGACUGUCUAGACAGAUGGUGAGGUCCCUGAGUGUAGCUAACAUGUAUUGUUGCUGGUCUCAGCGCUACAUCCUUCUGCAGUUUUCUUACGGAAUCCUUUCCCACCCUGUUAAUCACGUCCUCCAGAAAGCUGCUCAAUUAUCUUAUCCCAUCAGUCUCACUCAGCAACCACCAUCAUCAGAAUAAAAUGUAAUGUAGGAGUUACCGUGUGACCCAGCACUUCUGCCCUUAGCUAUAUACCCAAGAGAAUGGAAAUAUGCAUUCACACAAAAACUAGUACACAAAUGUUCACAUUUGUCACAGCCAAAAACUGAGAGCAACCCAAAUGUCCAUCAACAGAUGGAUGAGGAAAAUGUCGUUUAUGGAUAUAAGGGAAUAUUACGCAGACAUAAAACUGAAGGCUAUUUUGAUACCAACUCCUCAUGGAGGACCUUGAGGACACUGCGCUAAGUAAAAUGAGCUAGUCAUGAAAGUAUAAAUUUCGCACGAUUGCUCUACUAUGAGGGUCCUAGAGAAGUCAAAUUCAGAGACAGAAGGGAGAAUGGUGGCUGCCAGGAAUGGGAGGAGAGGGGAAUGGGGAGUUAGUGUUUAAUGGGACAGAGUUUCAGUCGAAGAUGAAAAAGUCCUGGAAGUGGACGGUGCUGAUGGUCGCACAAUAAUGUGAAUGUGCUUACUGUCACAGAACUGUACACUGAAAAGUGGUUAAAAUGGCAAAUGUAAUGCCAUGUAUACUUUCCAAAGUAAAGUAAAAGAAUGAUGUGCUUAUCUACCACAUGGACGAACUUUGAAAACCUCAUGCUAAGUGAAAGGAGCUAGACAUAAAAGGACACAUACUGCAUGAUUCCAUGUAGACUGAAUUUCAAGAGUCAGCAAAUCCAUGGAGACAGAAGCCAGGUUAGUGGUUUAGUAUGGGAGGACGAGGGAUAGGAAGUGACAGCUAACAAGGCCAGGGUUUCUUACUAAGGUGAUAAAAUGUUUUGAAAUUACAUAGUGGUACUGAUUUUUACAACCGUGUGAAUAUAGUAAAACGUUUUCUUUUGAGUACAUUUUUACAAGGUGAAUUUUGGGGCUGGCCCAGUAGCGUAGUGGUCAAGUUCAGCACACUUUGCUUUGUUGGCCCAGGUUCACACGUUUGGAUCCCAGGCAUGGACCUACGCCACUCAACAAGUCAUGCUGUGGUGGUACCCCACAUACACAAUAGAGGAAGGCGUGCACAGAUGUUUGCUCAGGGCCACUCUUCCUCAAGCAAAAAGAGGAAGACUGGCAACAGGUGUUAGCUCAGGGCCAAUCUUCCUCACCAAAAAAACAAAAAACAAACGGUGAAUUUUAUGAUCAUGAAUCUCUCUCAACUUAAAAAGCAACAUAAAAAUUUGCAACAUAAAUUCCUUACCAUCACGGUGCUCUCAUAGGUCAUCAGAGUUUAAUCACAACCCGACAGUGGUGACUGCAGUCAGAAUGACAUCACUGACUUCUAAAACACCAAGUCACAUUAUCUGAAUCUCCCUAGUGGCCUUCGAUGCAUCUAUUCCUAUUCAGGGUUUACCUUACGUACCAGAAGGAACGUAAAAGUGUCAACUAUGUCAUUUGAGUCUUUUUAUCACCCCGAAUACUAAGAUGGCAUGGUCUGGCAUAUCAUAAGCACUUACUAAAAAUCUGAUUAUUUGACCCCAAAUUCUAGUUCUAGACAUUUCUUAAGAAAAUACUGAGAUAAAGAAAUGCAUGUACAAGUAUGUUCAAUACUUAGCUUAUGACAGCCAAAACUAGAAACACAAAAAUCUAACGGAACAGGUUAAUUAACUUGGUUCUGCUAUAUGAUGGCAGGUACAGCAUUAUUAAUCAGGAUGAUACUGGUCCCAGUGUAAAAUACGCACUCAUAACUGGGGAACAGUAUCCAGUUGAAACUUAAGACAUAGAUUCUGUUCUCAGAUUUUCUAAAUGUAACUGCUCUUAGAGUUCAUGGCAUUUUAAUGCCUUGGGUUGUUCAUCAGUAAAACUAAGAGUGUGAAGAUCCCUUACUAAGCAUGAAUAUCUUGGAGAAAUAUAAUCUACAUAAAAACUUAAUAACAUGUUGUAAUCCUAUAUAAAUAUGUUAGAUAUUUUUACUGAAGAACAUUGCAUGCCCUCUAAUUGGGUAUUAUAAAAGAAACAAUUAUUCUUAGAUUAAAAUUGUGCUUAUCAGCCCUGCUCUGAUAAUGCUCACAAAACAAAGGGAAAAAAAAUCAGGACUUUUGCUUGAGAAUGCAUUUUUAAUUCAUAAAUCAAAAGUUUCUAGAAAAGAGGAGGAGGAAAUUUCCCUCCCACCGAAAUGCAGCAGAAUCAAAGAGACAUUUGUGAAUCACAACCUGCCCAAAGAAGCUGAUGUGAUCAAGCGUCUCAUAAGUGAGAACAUCAGUAAGACUCUCAGUGCCCUGAAGCAGCAAAGAAAGACGUUCUUCUUUUGGGAAUGGCAGGACUGAGGAGGAAGUCAGGAGGCACCAGGCUGUUCUUGGGGCACAGAAUGACUUCCUUACACGACACUCUCCAGCCAAGCAGCUGUGAGGAGAGAAGAGGAGGAAGCGCCAGGGAGCCCAGAGCCACCAGACAGUGACGCCACAGAGCCACAGCCAUCACACCCGCACAGACACACACCGUCCUCUGCCGUUCAGGCCCGAGAGUCCCGUGAGGACUGGUGUCCCUACUACCGGCCUCCACGCUGUGAGCGCUUCCGCCGCCACCCCUCCUGGUUCACGUCGGGCUCCGAAUUGACUCGCUUCACAGGAUUCCCGCAUCCUGUGCUAACACAUCCACAAACGAGCUCCACUCACCUUGCGAAGAGGGAGAACCGCGCGAAAACGGAAUGGAAGCCAAAGAGCUGGCGUGACCGCUGCCGUCUGGGAAGUGUCGCUCCAACCUGAACAUCUCUGGGCGCGGCGGCUCGUCCGAAAGGCCACCGAAGCGCGGAAGUCCCGGUGGAACGACAACGCGAGAACCGCCCGGAGCCCAGCCCGAGCGCAGGUCUCUCAGCCAGGAGCGCGACGCGAGGGCGCGUGCGCGGGCACGGAGCCUGAGCGGAGGCCGCUGGUGCGCGUGCUCGGUCCAGAGGCGCCGCUGCGCCCAGGAGGCCGAGCAGGGCGGCCCGGCGCCGGCUCCGAGCGUCCGGCCUGUGCGCGCAGAGCCGCGCGGGAGGUCGGCGGGGCGGCCCCGGGGCGAGAGCGCACGGCGGGUGUGAGCUCUGAGGGCGGGGCCCCGGACGAGUCCCCUCAGGCGGCUGCAGCCUGGCGACAGCAUACGGGGCAAGCAACUCCUGAUCCCGCGGGGGAUGAGCCGGUUUAUUCAGUGUCUGUUAGCUGCGUUUAAAGGGUGUGCAGGAGUGAAGUAAUACAUAUUUACUUAAUUCUUUAGGCUAAGCUGUAAUAGUCAAAAUGGAAUGAAUAAUUAUUUGUAGAAGUUCUGUGGUGAAAAUUAUGUAGAUAUUUUGUAAUAUUGAUUCAGGGACAGAUUUUCCAAGCAUGCCCAAAGAGAGGGAUGUUAUUAAAAUUUUAAGAGUUGACUGGAUAAUUAGUUGUAAUCAUCCUAAUCACUUGAAUGCAAAUCAAUUAAUAAAAGUUAAUCCUAGACAAAGAUUUGAUAGACUUAUUUUUAAAAAAUAUAAUGAGCACACUGAUAAUAAUCUUAAUUCCAUUUUUUCUCAAUAAGAUUGUUGUCAGUAAUCUAAGAGGAAAGGGAAUGGUGAACUGCCAUAUGACCCAGCCAUCCCACUACUGGGUAUCUCUUCAAAGAGCUUGAAGUCAGGAAUUCCCAAAGUCCUAUGCACCCCAAUGUUUAUUGCAGCAUUAUUUACAAUAGCCAAGACAUGGAAACAACCUAAGUGCCCAUCAACAGAUGAAUGGAUAAAGAAGACGUGGUAUAUAUAUAUAUAUACAGUGGAAAACUACUCAGCCAUAAAACAGAACAAAAUCGUCCCAUUUGCAACAACAUGGAUGGACCUUGAGGGAGUUAUGUUAAGUGAAAUAAGCCAGAUAGAGAAGGACAAUCUCUGUAUGACUCCACUCCUAUGAGGAAUUUAAACCUGUGGACAAAGAGAACAGAUUAGUGGCUACCAGGGGAAAGGGG